rnacentral:rRNA from 1 species
GUGGGGAAUCUUGCGCAAUGGGCGAAAGCCUGACGCAGCCAUGCCGCGUGAAUGAUGAAGGUCUUAGGAUUGUAAAAUUCUUUCAUCGGGGACGAUAAUGACGGUACCCGGAGAAGAAGCUCCGGCUAACUUCGUGCCAGCAGCCGCGGUAAUACGAAGGGGGCUAGCGUUGCUCGGAAUUACUGGGCGUAAAGGGCGCGUAGGCGGACAGCUUAGUCAGAGGUGAAAGCCCAGGGCUCAACCUUGGAAUUGCCUUUGAUACUGGCUGUCUUGAGUUUGGGAGAGGUGAGUGGAACUCCGAGUGUAGAGGUGAAAUUCGUAGAUAUUCGGAAGAACACCAGUGGCGAAGGCGACUCACUGGCCCAAUACUGACGCUGAGGCGCGAAAGCGUGGGGAGCAAACAGGAUUAGAAACCCCGGUAGUCC